AGAGUUUGAUCCUGGCUCAGAAUGAACGCUGGCGGCGUGCUUAACACAUGCAAGUCGAGCGAGAAAGCUCCUUCGGGAGUAAGUAAAGCGGCGAACGGGUGAGUAACACGUGAGAAUCUACCUUUUAGUGAGGAAUACCUUCGAGAAAUCGAAGUUAAUACCGCAUAAGUCCUACGGGAGAAAGAUGGCCUCUUUGCUGUCGCUAAAAGAUGAGCUCGCGGGCUAUCAGCUAGUUGGUGAGGUAAUGGCUCACCAAGGCUAUGACGGCUAGCCGGCCUGAGAGGGUGUACGGCCACACUGGAACUUAGACACGGUCCAGACUCCUACGGGAGGCAGCAGUGAGGAAUAUUGCGCAAUGGGCGAAAGCCUGACGCAGCGACGCCGCGUGGAGGAUGAAGGUUUUAGGAUCGUAAACUCCUGUUAAGUGGGAAGAAAGAUUCAUCUCUAAUACAGAUGAAGGAUGACGGUACCGCUAGAGAAAGCACCGGCUAACUUCGUGCCAGCAGCCGCGGUAAUACGAGGGGUGCAAGCGUUAUUCGGAAUCACUGGGCGUAAAGGGUGUGCAGACGGUUUAUUAAGUUGCUUGUUUAAUUCUUCGGCCUAACCGAAGGCUCGCAAGCAAAACUGGUAGACUUGAGGAUGGAAGAGAGAAGUGGAAUUCUCGGAGUAGCGGUAAAAUGCGUAGAUCUCGAGAGGAACACCAAUGGCGAAGGCAGCUUCUUGGUCCAUUCCUGACGUUCAUACACGAAAGCGUGGGGAGCAAACAGGAUUAGAUACCCUGGUAGUCC
rnacentral:rRNA from 1 species